ACUCCUACGGGAGGCAGCAGUGGGGAAUAUUGGACAAUGGGCGGAAGCCUGAUCCAGCAACGCCGCGUGAGGGAUGACGGCCUUCGGGUUGUAAACCUCUUUCAGUACCGACGAAGUUUUGUCUUUUUGGGCAAAGUGACGGUAGGUACAGAAGAAGCACCGGCCAACUACGUGCCAGCAGCCGCGGUAAUACGUAGGGUGCGAGCGUUGUCCGGAAUUAUUGGGCGUAAAGGGCUCGUAGGCGGUUUGUCGCGUCGGGAGUGAAAACGCCGUGCUUAACACGGCGCUUGCUUUC
rnacentral:rRNA from 1 species